AGAGUUUGAUCAUGGCUCAGGAUUAACGUUGGUAGCAUGCCUAACAUAUGCAAGUCGAGCGAAAAGUAGUAGCAAUAUUACUUUUAGCGGCGUACGGGUGAGUAAUGCUUAUCUUACCUACCGUUUAGUGGGGGAUAAAAUACCGCAUAUUCUGGCUUUGGCCAGGAAAGGAAGCCGCAAGGAUUUCGCUAAAUGACGGGGAUAAGUCGCAUCAGCCGAUGAAAGUAGGGUAAUGGCCUACUGAGGCAAAGACGCGUAGCCGGGCUGAGAGGCUGAUCGGUCACAAGGGAACUGAAACACGGUUCCUACUCCUACGGGAGGCAGCAAUGGGGAAUCGUCGGCAAUGGGGGAAACCCUGACCGCGCAAUGCUACGUGAAGGAAGAAGGUCUACGGAUUGUAAACUUCUUUACCAGAGGGUACUGACGUAAGGAUUGCCCUUUGGCAAAAAGUCACGACUAACUACGUGCCAGCAGUCGCGGUAAGACGUAGGUGGCGAACGUUAUCCGGAAUUAUUGGGCGUAAAGGGUGCGUAGGUGGCCUGGCAAGUUAUCAGUGGCAAAUCGAGGCCCAACCUCGUGGAAACUGGCAAUACUGCUUGGCUUGAGUGCAGGAGAGGUUAACGGAACUCUAUGUGGAGCGGUAAAAUGCACAGAUAUAUAGAAGAACAUCNUAACGGCGAAGGCAGUUAACUAUUCUGUUACUGACACUGAGGCACGAAAGCGUGGGGAGCAAAACGGAUUAGAUACCCUAGUAGUCC
rnacentral:rRNA from 1 species